AGAGGAGGGACAGGUACCAAUCUCUUCUCUCUGGUGACCAGUGACAGGACUCAAGGAAAUUGCAUGAAGCUGAAUCAGUGGAGGUUUAGUUUAGGUAUCAAGAAAAGGUUUUUCACCCAGAGGGUGGUUGAGCACUGGAGGAGACUCCCCAGGGAAGUGGUCACAGCACUAAGCCUACC